rnacentral:tRNA from 1 species
GGAGAGGUAGCCGUAGCGGCCUAACGGAUCCCUGCCUUGGGCAGGGAAGGGCUUUAGCCCUCGCAGGUUCGAAUCCUGCCCUCUCCGCC